GGAUUCCAGUCCGUCCGGGCACAUAUCGGGCCGUCUUGCCCCGCCAGAUGGCGUCGGUCGCCCGCGGCGAUUCACGUCGCACGCGGUGUCGUUCCCGGCGAUCACUCGGCGGGGUGGCGCGUCUCCGGUACCGGAGGUCAGCAAUUCCACCCUAGUAGAAACGUCGCGACCCGUUGGGUGCCGGUCCAAGGCCCGGGAUGGCAGACCGCGCGUUCCGCCGGGGAUAACUCGCGGGCGCGCGGACUCUCGGUGUCCCGGCCGGCUGCCCGACGGUAUGACCAGAGGAGCCGAUCCGCUGAAUGGGAAACACUUUGGCUGUGUAGCGUCCGGCCCGCCUCCGAAUGGCGGAAGGUUGUACGGGUGUCCGUGCUCGCCACGGCCCCUCCUUUCCGCGUCUUCGGAGUGCGGUGACCUCGGACUGGAUCGAUACUCCCGUCUGCGACGAUCACCUUCGGAUGGUCUCCCG
rnacentral:rRNA from 1 species